rnacentral:rRNA from 1 species
AAAAGAAGAUCAAGAAGCGCUUCAGAAUGAAGCUUUCUUGAUGGAGGGGAGCGGCAGACGGGUGAGUAACACGUGGGAAUCUACCCAUCCCUGCGGAACAACUCCGGGAAACUGGAGCUAAUACCGCAUACGCCCUUCGGGGGAAAGAUUUAUCGGGGAUGGAUGAGCCCGCGUUGGAUUAGCUAGUUGGUGGGGUAAAGGCCUACCAAGGCGACGAUCCAUAGCUGGUCUGAGAGGAUGAUCAGCCACAUUGGGACUGAGACACGGCCCAAACUCCUACGGGAGGCAGCAGUGGGGAAUAUUGGACAAUGGGCGCAAGCCUGAUCCAGCCAUGCCGCGUGAAUGAUGAAGGCCUUAGGGUUGUAAAGUUCUUUCACCGAUGAAGAUAAUGACGGUAGUCGGAGAAGAAGCCCCGGCUAACUUCGUGCCAGCCGCCGCCGUAA